UACGUAGGGGGCAAGCGUUAUCCGGAUUUACUGGGUGUAAGGGGAGCGCAGACAGCAUUACAAGUCUGAUGUGAAGGCCCGGGGCUCAACCCCGGAACUGCAUUGGAAACUGUAGGGCUCGAGUGUCGGAGAGGUAAGCGGAAUUCCUAGUGUAGCGGUGAAAUGCGUAGAUAUUAGGAGGAACACCGGUGGCGAAGGCGGCUUACUGGACGAUGACUGACGUUGAGGCUCGAAAGCGUGGGGAGCAAAC
rnacentral:rRNA from 1 species